rnacentral:lncRNA from 1 species
GGUCUUUUCACCUCUGCAAUCAAGCUAUCCCAAUAAAUGUGUGCAGAAGGAUCCUGUUGUGGCGUCUUUUAGCUGGAAAUAUCUACAAUGGCCUAGACAUUACUGUUCAUCUCAUGAAGGCAGCCAUAUGAGAACUUAAGCAGGAUCUUUGGAAAUAUGCACCUACCAUCUGAAGACUACAUAUAUUUCAGCUAAGAGAUCUAUAUACUUCAAAUGAACAAAUGAUUUGGAUAGCACAUAACAGACACCUCCCCCGAAGCACUUCUGUGAAGAAAGCAAUGGCAGCUUUAACGAUGGAGAGGAAUCAGAGCCCAAAAGAACCUGGGAACUGAUUCCAUGCUGGUCUCUUCUGCUCCUUCCCUUGUCUAUUGAGUCUAUUUCAUUUCCUGCCUCUAUUUUUCCCAUUGAUAUUGGGCAAUUCUCUCCCAAAUGCCUAAAAUAAUAGUUCUGUCGUGUAGCUGGCUGACAAUCCGUCAUACAAUCAAAACCAUGCUGGCCAGAUAUGGGCAACCGCUUCUCAGCCUUUGCUGGCCCAUCUGUCACUCUCCAUACAUUAGUUGGGAAAGUAUUUGGUGAUCAGAGACUAUCUAGCAAGCUUGAGCACAUGUGCACACCAUAACACACACACACACACACACACACACACACACACACACACACACACACACACACCGAGUAUGGAAUUGUGUGUGGGGUAUAUAUUUAUCUAGAACAUAAGCCAAUAUUUUUCAACAACAAUCUUACCUAUGUUUAUAACACCAUUUGCAGCUGUCUUAAUUUCAAAAUAAACUAUUCCUUCCCCAAACAAGAGACACACUGAAACGUUACCAUAACUCCUGUUUUUCAAAAUACCCUUAUUUGUACCCCAGAGAGACCCAAGCUGGGGCUCACAUUCACACAAGCCCGUAUAUACUCAAAGGAACAACAAUAUUUGAGACAAAAGGAAAACCUAAAGACAGUUGCUUUAGUCCUUAAUAUAAUGCUUAUUUUUUUCACAUUAAUAUGUAAAAAUUCCCCAGGGGCUAGUUACAGGCUUGCAUUGCUAUUUUUAUUUUAUCAAUAAUAAUUAUGUUUUUUUUUUAUUGACUGCUUCUUUUCCAGGGAACCCAAAGUGUAUGCAAAUCCUUUAUCUUUUCCCUUAUGCCAUCUUUGAGGCAUAGCCAAGAGGCAGAUCAUUUUAUCACAAUCAAAAAAGAUAGAAAUUAGUAGAGAUGCCAGCACAGAGAAUGGAAACUGGUCCUGGAUUUAGUGCAAGAUUUUACUACUGCCCUCCCUGAAACACCCGUCUCUCCAACCAUUGCCUCUCUGGCAGAACCUUUUGAAAGGUUCGUUUAGUUAUAACUUUUCACUGCCUGGGCUGCAGCUUGUGGGAGCUUGGUUGACCUAUCCCUCCAACCUUCUUUUAUACCACUCUCUUCACUUAAUACUCUGCACUGAUACCAGCUGCCUAAGAGUUGGGUACCCUAGAAUCAUCCCCACGUGAGAGCCAUGUGCUAUGAUGAUGCCAAGGAGAUGAGCAGGAAUAUGAGCAAGUGGGAUGAAGAAGGAAGGGACCAAGCCAGGAAAGGAAAAAUCAUCUAUCUAAUUUCAAAGGGGUUGGAUCUCCUGCCUUCCACCAUCAAGCCCUUAUCUGCGACUCCACCAGGAAGUCUGAAGCAGCAAUCACCGAAGUCCUAUAGUUCGCAAUGGAAUCUCCAUCUGUCAGCCCUCCAUCACCCCUCGCGUCUCUGCGCAGGUAUGGACCUGGGCAGCAAGGACUUCUGUGACAGCUCCUCUAUCGCACCCUUCCUUCUCUCAGUACCAACAGGCCUGCUUCUCUCCAUGCCUGUCUGAGAACCCACUUACAAGCUCCUCUUGGAGAGAGAAAUAGUAUAAUUGGAAGCAUGCAUUACACCAUGUAAUUGACAAGAUAAGGAUGCACCCUCAGUCCGGCUCAACUCAAUUAGAAUAUUUUUACUGCUUAAUUUGGUCUGAAGAAUCUUGCAGGAAAAACAAAACCUGCUCUUAUAGCAAUAGGCGAAGCCCAACAAACAUGCACACAUUAUCCCCCUGCUGCAUGCGUCUUGGUAAUGGGUCACCUCCCUCAGCAACUGGACGUCCUUUGGUUAAAAUGCCCUGAGCUGUUUGUGCGGCAAGUACUUUGAGCCCCUCCAAAAUCAAUGACCUUCUUUGUGCCAGUAUACCGGAAGAGAAAAAAAGAGGGAGAGAAAGGGAGAAGAGAGGAGAGAAGAAAGGAGAAAAGAGAAGACCAUGUAUGCUGAGUGAUACUUGUAUUCAUAGUCCUGUGAGUUUCUGUUUAAAACAAGAAAAGACUUGGCUUUUGUACUAUUAAAGUUUUACCCUUGCUUCA